CAACUUGAGAGUUUGAUCCUGGCUCAGAACGAACGCUGGCGGCAGGCUUAACACAUGCAAGUCGAGCGAAGCCUUCGGGCUUAGCGGCGGACGGGUGAGUAACGCGUGGGAACGUACCCUUCGGUGCGGAAUAGGCCCUGGAAACGGGGUUUAAUACCGCAUACGCCCUUUUGGGGAAAGAUUUAUCGCCGAAGGAUCGGCCCGCGUUGGAUUAGGUAGUUGGUGGGGUAACGGCCUACCAAGCCGACGAUCCAUAGCUGGUUUUAGAGGAUGAUCAGCCACACUGGGACUGAGACACGGCCCAGACUCCUACGGGAGGCAGCAGUGGGGAAUCUUAGACAAUGGGCGCAAGCCUGAUCUAGCCAUGCCGCGUGAGUGAUGAAGGUCUUAGGAUCGUAAAGCUCUUUCGCUGGGGAAGAUAAUGACGGUACCCAGUAAAGAAACCCCGGCUAACUCCGUGCCAGCAGCCGCGGUAAUACGGAGGGGGUUAGCGUUGUUCGGAAUUACUGGGCGUAAAGCGCGCGUAGGCGGAC
rnacentral:ncRNA from 1 species